GAUGAACGCUGGCGGCGUGCCUAAUACAUGCAAGUCGAGCGAACGGACGAGAAGCUUGCUUCUCUGAUGUUAGCGGCGGACGGGUGAGUAACACGUGGAUAACCUACCUAUAAGACUGGGAUAACUUCGGGAAACCGGAGCUAAUACCGGAUAAUAUUUUGAACCGCAUGGUUCAAAAGUGAAAGACGGUCUUGCUGUCACUUAUAGAUGGAUCCGCGCUGCAUUAGCUAGUUGGUAAGGUAACAGCUUACCAAGGCAACGAUGCAUAGCCGACCUGAGAGGGUGAUCGGCCACACUGGAACCGAGACACGGUCCAGACUCCUACGGGAGGCAGCAGUAGGGAAUCUUCCGCAAUGGGCGAAAGCCUGACGGAGCAACGCCGCGUGAGUGAUGAAGGUCUUCGGAUCGUAAAACUCUGUUAUUAGGGAAGAACAUAUGUGUAAGUAACUGUGCACAUCUUGACGGUACCUAAUCAGAAAGCCACGGCUAACUACGUG
rnacentral:rRNA from 1 species